UCCGCCGCUGUGGCCGCCAAGUCCUUGCCUUGCCGCCUCAACAUUGCCGUAUUUUCGGGUGAUUAAAGUGUGGGUAUGGGUUAGAUUUUUUUAUUUUAGGUUUAGGGCAAUAAGGUAAAUUCAAUACAGAUUUGUGGGCUUUAUGUGGAGAUUUGCGGGCGAUGUUUAGCAAUCCACUAAAAAAAUACUUUAUUCCAAUAUCUAUCGUACUUAUAAUUUUCAUAUCAGCUCUCAUUUCUCCAACUCCACUCACUUCUCCUCUUCUUCCUCCUCUCCUCUCAGUCUCACUUCUCUUUUUAGUCUCUCAUUUCUCCACUUCUCCUCCUCCUCUCAUCGCCAUCGUCUUCUUCCUCUGACAGAGAUGGACGCCGCCGCCGCAGCCCACCGACGCCACCGUCAUCACAAGCCCACCGACGCUACACACCGUCAAGGUUUUUGAAUUAUAGAUCUUGGUUUAAUUUAGUUUAAAAGAGAAUGAAGGCCGUCAUGUUAGCGCUGGUGUUGGCAGGGAGCGUAGCUUAUUUCUGUUUUUUCAUAAAAUUUUCUGACACAAUGGAACCAUUAAUUUUAUUGAAGAUCGACUAUCCAAUCACCUCGGAUUCUGACAGUCAAAUCGCGUCGAAUUCAACAAUCGAAACCCAUUUUCUCCAACCUUAUUUUAUGUACCGUCAUUACAAGCAUACAAUGGCCAAUAUCACUGACCAUGAGAAGUGGGAGAUUGAUAUAAACAGGAGCCUGUUAUACGGUUUAAUGACAUUAAUGAUUUUGCACAUUUUUGUAGUAGAAUUUGCUAUUCCGUACUACCGUAGAAAAUAUUAUACGAGUAAUUGAAUGAUUACUGCCUAGGUAGGAAAAGCUUUGAAAUAUUUGUAUUAGAACAAGAAAAAUUUUACUUUAUGAAGUGUUUAAUUUUUUUAGUUUAAAUUUUAUGUCAGUUUAAAAAUUCGGGUUUGGGUUU